AGGUUGAACGCUGGCGGCGUGCCUAACACAUGCAAGUCGAGCGGUAGCAGGUGUAGCAAUACAUGCUGACGAGCGGCGAACGGGUGAGUAAUGCAUCGGAACGUAUCCUUGAGUGGGGGAUAACGCAGCGAAAGUUGUGCUAAUACCGCAUAAGCUCUGAGGAGGAAAGCGGGGGACCGAAAGGCCUCGCGCUGAAGGAGCGGCCGAUGUCCGAUUAGCUAGUUGGUGAGGUAAAGGCUUACCAAGGCGACGAUCGGUAGCUGGUCUGAGAGGAUGAUCAGCCACACUGGGACUGAGACACGGCCCAGACUCCUACGGGAGGCAGC
rnacentral:rRNA from 1 species